GAGUAUCUAGUUUAAUUAUUUAAAACACUAGAUUGUCAUACUAGAAAUAUUAAGGGUUAUUAGUGAUUCUCU
rnacentral:tRNA from 1 species